rnacentral:tRNA from 1 species
GUUGUUGAAAUAUAAGGAUGACACGCUAGCUUCAGGUGCUAGUGACUGUAUGGUCGUGGAAGUUCGAGUCUUCUCCUGGGCACCA